rnacentral:rRNA from 1 species
GACGAACGCUGGCGGCGUGCUUAACACAUGCAAGUCGAACGGUGAAGCGCCUUCCUUUUUGGUGGGUGUGGAUGAGUGGCGAACGGGUGAGUAACACGUGAGUAACCUGCCCCCUUCUUCUGGAUAACCGCAUGAAAGUGUGGCUAAUACGGGAUAUUCUGGGUCUGUCGCAUGAUGGGUCUGGGAAAGAUAUUGUUUCGGUGGGGGAUGGGCUCGCGGCCUAUCAGCUUGUUGGUGGGGUGAUGGCCUACCAAGGCGGUGACGGGUAGCCGGCCUGAGAGGGUGGACGGUCACACUGGGACUGAGACACGGCCCAGACUGCUACGGGAGGCAGCAGUGGGGAAUAUUGCACAAUGGGCGCAAGCCUGAUGCAGCGACGCCGCGGGAGGGAUGGAGGCCUUCGGGUUGUGAACCUCUUUCGCCAGUGAAGCAGGCCUGCCUCGUUUGUGGGUGGGUUGACGGUAGCUGGAUAAGAAGCGCCGGCUAACUACGUG